rnacentral:rRNA from 1 species
UGCAAGUCGAGGGGCAGCGGGGAAAAGCUUGCUUUUCCGCCGGCGACCGGCGCACGGGUGCGCACCGCGUAUGGAACCUGCCUUGUACAGGGGAAUAGCCCAGGGAAACUUGGAUUAAUGCCCCGUAGUACCGUAUUUCGGCAUCGUUAUACGGUUAAAGCCUUCGGGCGGUACAAGAUGGCCAUGCGUCCCAUUAGCUGGAUGGUAAGGUAACGGCUUACCAUGGCUACGAUGGGUAGGGGCCCUGAGAGGGGGAUCCCCCACACUGGUACUGAGACACGGACCAGACUCCUACGGGAGGCAGCAGUGAGGAAUAUUGGACAAUGGAGGAGACUCUGAUCCAGCCAUGCCGCGUGCAGGAAGAAUGCCCUAUGGGUAGUAAACUGCUUUUAUACGGGAAGAAAAAGAGCUACGUGUAGCUUACUGACGGUACCGUAAGAAUAAGGACCGGCUAACUCCGUGCCAGCAGCCGCGGUAAUACGGAGGGUCCGAGCGUUAUCCGGAAUUAUUGGGUUUAAAGGGUCCGUAGGCGGGCCGAUAAGUCAGGGGUGAAAGUCUGCCGCUCAACGGUAGAACUGCCUUUGAUACUGUCGGUCUUGAGUUAUAGUGAAGUUGCCGGAAUAUGUAGUGUAGCGGUGAAAUGCAUAGAUAUUACAUAGAACACCGAUUGCGAAGGCAGGUGACUAACUAUAUACUGACGCUGAUGGACGAAAGCGUGGGGAGCGAACAGGAUUAGAUACCCUGGUAGUCCACGCCGUAAACGAUGGAUACUAGCUGUCCGGAACCUUGAGUUCUGGGCGGGCAAGCGAAAGUGAUAAGUAUCCCACCUGGGGAGUACGUUCGCAAGAAUGAAACUCAAAGGAAUUGACGGGGGCCCGCACAAGCGGUGGGAGCAUGUGGUUUAAUUCGAUGAUACGCGAGGAAACUUAUCAAGGGCUUUAAUUGCAUAUUGGACAGGGUCAGAGAUGACUUUUUCCUUCGGGCCAAUUUG